CUUUCGGGUGUUUGUCGGACCCUACCCUGACCUCCCCCUCUCCCUGUCCCCUCCCCUGCCUCUCUCUCCCUCUCUCUUUUUCUUCUCUCUCUUACUCCCGCGCCCCUCUCCCCGCCUCCUUCUCCUGUCGCCCCACAGGGCUCGCAGGCCCCCGCGCCCUCUCCCUAGUGCUCGUGUCCUGUUCGCGGGCGCGGGCGCAGGUGCGAGCGGGUGCGGGCGAGCGGGCUCGGACGCGGGCACGGGCGGCGCGCGGGAGGGAGCCGGGGCGCGAGCGGGUGCCCGGCGCGGGUCGGUCGCAGGGGGCAGCACGUGCGAGCGCGCCCGGGCCCCGGGCGCGGGUCGGACGCAGAGGGCAGCACGUGCGAGCGCGGCACGGGCGGGCAACUCUCCCUUCCCCCCUUCCCCCACCCCUCUCCGGAGAAACAUAAUGGUGAAGUAGCUGUGGUCUGAGCUUAUUAUCUGGAGGAUUAAUGCUUUAUCUUUCAUAGCUGAAUCGGUGGCGUCAGCGAUCAUCGAGGCGUGCCCGGCGGCUGGCGGCAUGUAGGAAAAUCCUCCUAAAUUUGGAGAAAUUCAGAAGCUGGCUUAUCAAAAACCUCGAAAUUACUACGUAAAUGGAUCGAUCGGGGAUCGAGCACUUCCUUCGAUCUCUUCUCCGCAUUCGUUUGGGGCCUCGAAGGGAGCUUCACACGUAGAAGCGUUUGCUCAUAUACGGAGAGGUCGUGUUGGAGAAGAAUGAAAUCGCACGAGGAGAGAGAAAGGAGGUUUUCCUUUGCUGUUUCGUUUUUGUUCUGUAAAUUUUGGGUUUAAUGGCAUUUUUUCUUGUGGGAGUUGCAUACUUUGCUUCUUAAUUUAGGGAAAGCUUGUUGGGUUUUGCUCUAGGGGUUUUGUGCAGUACGCGUUGCUGGUAAAGAUGGGGAGUUUAUAUGUGUUUUAUUUAAUGUUGUAGCAGUUGCAGCAAUGUGUGGGAGAUUGAGAAAGAUUUGAUGAUGGAGAAUGCAGAUGAAGCAGGGGAUGAUCAGGGAUCGGGUUGGUUUGAAGUGAAAAAGGUAUUAUUGUUUCUGAUUAAAUCUUUUACUUUUAUUUAACUCUUUUCCUUGGAGUUUUUCUUUUGCUUCCUACUUACAAAGUGUAGCAGAUUUUCUUAUUCUCUACUGAAAAAAACUGCAUGCUUUUACCUAA